AAAACACAAACCACAGAAGAAGAGAGGAGUAGGGAACGCUUACAGGCUGAGUCUCUCUGUUACCAUGGCACCAUGUCCACUGGUCAGCGCUCACACAGUGUGUCUUAGAUGAAUAGAGGGGAAACAAGAUAGCAUAAAGCUGUCACUGAUAGAAUGACCACACACACACACACUGCACCAACACACACACUGCACCAACACACACACACACACUGUACCAACACACACACACACACACACACACACACACUGCACCAACACACACACACUGUACCAACACACACACUGCCACACACUGCACCAACACACACACACACACACACUGUACCAACACACACACACACUGUACCAACACACACACACACUGCACCAACACACACACACACUGCACCAACACACACACACUGCACCAACACACACACUGUACCAACACUUGCUCACACACACAAUGUGCGUACAUACACCCACAAUCCUCUCCUCACUCCCCCACACACAGCAGCUGUCACACACAGAGGGUUGGGCUUGUUACGGGGGUGGUGUGUGUGUCAUGGCAUGUUAAAAUACCCAGGGUCUGACGUCACUAUCUGACAAACAACUCUGCCUCUAAACCCAACUACACACACAGAUCCAUGGUAGAAUUUCACCAGAGAUAAAUACUCUUCAUUCUGGAGAGGAGAAGGUGGGUCACCUGAGAUAAAUACCCUUCAUUCUGGAGAGGAGAAGGUGAGUCACUAGAGAUAAAUAUCCUUCAUUCUGGAGAGGAGAAGGUGGGUCACUAGAGAUAAACACCCGUCAUUCUGGAGAGGAGAGGAGAAGGUGAGUCACU
ensembl:lncRNA